UGCUUUUUUUUUUUUUCCCGAACGACCGCAGCAGGGUCACAAGGGAGAUGUCCGCCCCCAGUCGUAGCCUCGGACGGUUUCUGAGCGUUGGUGUUUGGCACGCGCCACCCUCUCUUGCUUUGGUUCCGCCAUGCCGAUGUACCAGGUAAAACCUUAUCACGGGCGCGGCGCGCCUCUCCGUGUGGAGCUUCCCACCUGCAUGUACCGGCUCUCUAACGUGCAAGGCAGGAGCGGCGGCCCAGCGCCCGGCGUUGGCCACCUACAGACGGAGUUUCACUGUGUCACCCAGGCUGGAGUGCAGUGGUGUGAGCUCGGCUCACUGCAACCUCUGCCUCCCGGGUUCAAGCAGUUCUCCCAUCUCAGCCUCCUGAGUAGCUUGGAUUACAGGUGCACGCCACCACACCCAACUAAUUUUUGUAUUUUUAGCAGAGACGGGGUUUCACCAUUUUGGCCAGGAUGGUCUUGAUCUCUUGACCUCAUGAUCCACCCGCCUCAGCCUUCCAAAGUGCUGGGAUUACAGGUGCGAGCCACCAUGCCUGGCCUUUUAUUUCUUUUUUUGAGCCCAUUCUCUCCCUGUUUUAUUUUUAAAAUUUUAUUAAAC
rnacentral:lncRNA from 1 species